AGAACGAACGCUGGCGGCAGGCCUAAUACAUGCAAGUCGAACGCACUCUUCGGAGUGAGUGGCAGACGGGUGAGUAACGCGUGGGAACCUUCCCAAUGGUACGGAAUAACUCCGGGAAACCGGUGCUAAUACCGUAUAAGCCCCUCGGGGGAAAGAUUUAUCGCCAUUGGAUGGGCCCGCGUCGGAUUAGCUAGUUGGUAAGGUAAUGGCUUACCAAGGCUACGAUCCGUAGCUGGUCUGAGAGGAUGAUCAGCCACACUGGGACUGAGACACGGCCCAGACUCCUACGGGAGGCAGCAGUAGGGAAUCUUGGACAAUGGGCGAAAGCCUGAUCCAGCCAUGCCGCGUGAGUGAAGAAGGCCUUAGGGUUGUAAAGCUCUUUUGGCGGGGACGAUAAUGACGGUACCGCAGAAUAAGCCCGGCUAACUUCGUGCCAGCAGCCGC
rnacentral:rRNA from 1 species